CCCUACGGGGUGCCAAUGAAGUUCCAGGUUACCUGGUUCCAGAGUAUUACAGCCAGUAUUUACGGGAUGGCGAUGCGGAACCAUUAAAAGGCAUUUUCUACCAUAACGAACAAGAUGUCAUCAGUUUGGCAGCCUUGUUUGCGAUGUUGGCGGAUAUAUUAGCCAAUCCGGUGGAAUGGCAUAGUCCAUACUUUCAGGACAUUACCGCCAUUGGUCGGGUAUUAGAAAAAAUGGGCAAUCUCGACCAGGCUUCCCAGAUGUACCAGAAAAGCGCCCGUAUUGAUAAUUCCGAUGGCAUGCGGUUAGAGC
rnacentral:rRNA from 1 species